rnacentral:rRNA from 1 species
GGACCCGCACAAGUAGUGGAGCAUGUGGUUUAAUUCGAAGAUACGCGCAGAACCUUACCAACACUUGACAUGUUCGUCGCGACUUUAAGAGAUUAGAGUUUUCGGUUCGGCCGGACGAAACACAGGUGCUGCAUGGCUGUCGUCAGCUCGUGUCGUGAGAUGUUGGGUUAAGUCCCGCAACGAGCGCAACCCUCACUUUUAGUUGCCAUCAUUAAGUUGGGCACUCUGAAAGAACUGCCAGUGAUAAGCUGGAGGAAGGUGGGGAUGACGUCAAGUCCUCAUGGCCCUUACGUGUUGGGCUACACACGUGCUACAAUGGUAUCUACAACAGGAAGCUAAACUGCGAGGUUGAGCAAAUCCCUAAAAGAUACCUCAGUUCGGAUUGCACUCUGCAACUCGAGUGCAUGAAGCUGGAAUUACUAGUAAUCG